rnacentral:rRNA from 1 species
UACGUAGGGGGCAAGCGUUGUCCGGAAUCAUUGGGCGUAAAGAGCGUGUAGGCGGCUUGGCAAGUCUGGUGUGAAAUCUUGCGGCUCAACCGCAAGCGGUCACUGGAAACUGCCUCGCUAGAGUCCGGAAGAGGAGAGCGGAAUUCCUGGUGUAGCGGUGGAAUGCGCAGAUAUCAGGAAGAACACCAGUGGCGAAGGCGGCCGACUGGUCCGGUUCUGACGCUGAGGCGCGAAAGCGUGGGGAGCAAACAGG